rnacentral:rRNA from 1 species
AGCAGUAGCCGCGGGAAUACAGAGGGUGCGAGCGUUAAUCGGAUUUACUGGGCGUAAAGCGUGCGUAGGCGGCUUUUUAAGUCGGAUGUGAAAUCCCUGAGCUUAACUUAGGAAUUGCAUUCGAUACUGGGAAGCUAGAGUAUGGGAGAGGAUGGUAGAAUUCCAGGUGUAGCGGUGAAAUGCGUAGAGAUCUGGAGGAAUACCGAUGGCGAAGGCAGCCAUCUGGCCUAAUACUGACGCUGAGGUACGAAAGCAUGGGGAGCAAACAGGAUUAGAUACCCCGGUAGUCCCUGUCUUUUAUAA